rnacentral:rRNA from 1 species
UACAGAGGGUGCAAGCGUUGCUCGGAAUCACUGGGCGUAAAGCGCACGUAGGCGGCUUUUUAAGUCAGGGGUGAAAUCCUGGAGCUCAACUCCAGAACUGCCUUUGAUACUGAGAAGCUUGAGUCCGGGAGAGGUGAGUGGAACUGCGAGUGUAGAGGUGAAAUUCGUAGAUAUUCGCAAGAACACCAGUGGCGAAGGCGGCUCACUGGCCUGGUACUGACGCUGAGGUGCGAAAGCGUGGGGAGCAAACAGG